GACGAACGCUGGCGGCGUGCCUAAUACAUGCAAGUCGAACGCAGUGGGGACGGGUGAGUAACACGUGGGUAACCUCCCAUCAGAGGGGAUAACACUUGGAAACAGGUGCUAAACCGAUACUGAUGGAUGAACCCGCGGUUCAUUAGCUAGGUGGUGAGGUAACGGCUCACCAAGGCCACGAUGUAUAGCCGACCUGAGAGGGUGAUCGGCCACACUGGGGCUGAGACCCAGCGCAGACUCCGACGGGAGGCAGCAGUAGGGAAUCUUCGGCAAUGGACGAAAGGCUGACAGAGCAACGCCGCGUGAGUUAAGAAGGUGUGCGGAUCGUGAAACUCUGUUGUUAGAGAAGCGGUAUCUAACCAGAAAGCCACGGCUAACUACGUGCCAGCAGCCGCGGUAAUAC
rnacentral:rRNA from 1 species